rnacentral:tRNA from 1 species
GGGAAUGUAGAUCAAUGGCAGAGCACUGGCCUGGCGUGCCUGAGACCAUGGCUUCCAUUCCCA